ACAACCCACAACGGCCAUGGCUCUUCUCUCACCAAAUUCAUCGAUCUAGAGCUGCCAUGGAGACUAGCAAAAGGCGAGAGCGGGUUUUUAGAGACUUCCAUUACCUUUUACCCGUUCCGAACUCGCUCAACACUCACCAUGAUGGAUCGGUAUCAGAGGGUAGAGAAACCGAGGCCAGAGCCGUCGAUCAACGAGAAUGAGAUUGGUAUAACCACUCAGGGGAGGAUGAGGAACUAAAUUAUUUAUGCUAUCACUCUGUUUCAGGCAUUCGGCUCAGGAUAAGUGGGUUUGUGUUUGCUUCCUUGGAGCUUCGGUUUUGGGCAUCGUAUUGAGGCCAGACUUUAGCUAGGACAAUAUUUGGCAUGAUUUACUAUAGAAGGGCAUUAAUGUUACAGAGUUUCCUGGAAAGAAGAUCUCUGGGAGGUAGGAGCCGGUGGACAUGAAUUGGGGGAUCAUUGUGUGGUUUUCUCAAAUGGUGAUAUUAGUGUUUGGUUUUCUUAUUUUAUUAAUAACUAAAUAACCCUAAAUUUAUUGCUUAUUAUUGUUGUUGCAGUUUUGUUUAGCAUUAGGAUAUGGGUUCAUUUCUAUUAGUGAAAAAGUACAUCGAUCCACUAUCUCUUUCUUGGAACAGAAUUGCUGAGAGUAUUUUUUUUUUUAAUAUACCAUUUAGCAUAUGAAGCAUGAGUUUUAAUAUGCAAUAGAAAGUUGAAGUGAUGAAUAUAAUCAACGCACCAUUAUGCAUCAGCAAUUGAAAUUAUGGUGCAUCUUCACUUUUCCAAGUCCUUGAUGCUGAAAAUUUUAUUUGCUGCCAAUCUACCGGAUCACUAUGUGGUUUUCUCAAAUGGUGAUAUUAGUGUUUGGUUUUCUUAUAAUUCUUGCUUAUCUAUCAUAGUUGUUGUUGAGAUUUUGUUUUCUUGAAUAAUAAAAGAAUUAUU